rnacentral:rRNA from 1 species
UACGGGGGGAGCAAGCGUUGUUCGGAUUUACUGGGCGUAAAGGGCGCGUAGGCGGUCGUGACAAGUCACUUGUGAAAUCUCCGGGCUUAACUCGGAACGGUCAAGUGAUACUGUCGGACUAGAGUACAGAAGGGGCAACUGGAAUUCUCGGUGUAGCGGUGAAAUGCGUAGAUAUCGAGAGGAACACCUGCGGCGAAGGCGGGUUGCUGGGCCGACACUGACGCUGAGGCGCGAAAGCUAGGGGAGCGAACGGG